UACGUAGGUGGCAAGCGUUAUCCGGAAUUAUUGGGCGUAAAGCGCGCGUAGGCGGUUUUUUAAGUCUGAUGUGAAAGCCCACGGCUCAACCGUGGAGGGUCAUUGGAAACUGGAAAACUUGAGUGCAGAAGAGGAAAGUGGAAUUCCAUGUGUAGCGGUGAAAUGCGCAGAGAUAUGGAGGAACACCAGUGGCGAAGGCGGCUUUCUGGUCUGCAACUGACGCUGAUGUGCGAAAGCGUGGGGAUCAAACAGG
rnacentral:rRNA from 1 species